GGAUGUGAAGGCAGUCUAGCUGCAGCAUCUGUCCCCCCAUUGACUGCCAGUGCUGAUUCUGCUGUUCUGACUGGUUAGGCUGGCUGUCCCCUUCCUCCUUCAAUAGCUCCAUCUGUGUCCCUCCCAAAGCUGCACACUCGUUUGCAGAGGACAACCUCCCCAGCAGAUUUUUUUGGCUGGAAAGUGGCCCAGCAGAGAAGGACCUGG
rnacentral:snRNA from 1 species